rnacentral:rRNA from 1 species
GAUGAACGCUGGCGGCGUGCCUAAUACAUGCAAGUCGAGCGAACGGACGAGAAGCUUGCUUCUCUGAUGUUAGCGGCGGACGGGUGAGUAACACGUGGAUAACCUAUCUAUAAGACUGGGAUAACUUCGGGAAACCGGAGCUAAUACCGGAUAAUAUUUUGAACCGCAUGGUUCAAAAGUGAAAGACGGUCUUGCUGUCACUUAUAGAUGGAUCCGCGCUGCAUUAGCUAGUUGGUAAGGUAACGGCUUACCAAGGCAACGAUGCAUAGCCGACCUGAGAGGGUGAUCGGCCACACUGGAACUGAGACACGGUCCAGACUCCUACGGGAGGCAGCAGUAGGGAAUCUUCCGCAAUGGGCGAAAGCCUGACGGAGCAACGCCGCGUGAGUGAUGAAGGUCUUAGGAUCGUAAAACUCUGUUAUUAGGGAAGAACAUAUGUGUAAGUAACUGUGCACAUCUUGACGGUACCUAAUCAGAAAGCCACGGCUAACUACGUG